GAAACCCGGAUCACAGAUUCAAGGCUGAAGUAGCUUAACAUGGGUGCCGAUUGAACUGCUCUCGGUUAAAUAUCUUAAAGAACUGUAUCCACGGAUGAUGGCAGAAUUGCAGCUUCAAAGUACAAACACGCAGUGGUACUCCAAGCUUUGUCCACAAGAGGGCAGAUGAGGACGUAAAUUCAGUUCAGUGAUAAAGCGGGAAUAGAAAAUGGAUGAAUGGAUGGAUAAACAAAAAGUUUUCUAUAUCAGUAAUAAUGGACUGGGAUGCUCCAAUCUAAAUGGGGAGAUCUUCUUGCUUUGCUUUCAAGCUGUCCAGCCCUCAGGGCGUUGCAACCAGCAGAGCCACUCUCCUAGAGGGACUUUGUUGCGAAUGUCUGUGUUAAAGAAGUGACCUCAGCAGCUGAGAUAACCUCCCCCGCUGGUCUGAGAGCAGUGUUCCACCAAGGAGGCAGC